AUAAACUCCAGUACCAUCGUAGAAGACAUCAUUGCAGUGGCUUCACCAAAAGACAUGCUCCUCUUAGUCCUCUGUUAGGCUUUUACCAUCACCAAAGCCACCAGAAAAAAUGUCACGAUGUAAGUGCAAGAAUGAAAGUACUAGAAGGCAUAAAAAGAGAAGGCCUUCUGGAUCUCAGAAGAGAGGAAAACGAGGGAGAAGCAGGAAAACAUCCAUAGCUCAUACCGUGUACUACUACAGGAAGGUAAAAUAGCCUCUGCUGGUGUUCCUGUCUAACAUGAAGCAGCUUUGGAAAUGUCAGAUGUCACCAAUGCAAUGAUUUCUGUCAAGUGAAUGAACAACAGUUCCAGCCAAGCCAGAUGGGGUGACCUUCCAAGAUGCUGAACACCUCCAAAGAGGAGCAGUCUUUCAAUAAACCUGAAGCUGCAGUGUC